rnacentral:rRNA from 1 species
GACGGAGGAUGCAAGCGUUAUCCGGAAUUAUUGGGCGUAAAGCGUCCGCAGGUGGCUGUUCAAGUCUGCUGUCAAAGCGCAGAGCUUAACUCUGUACAGGCGGUGGAAACUGAAGAGCUAGAGUAUGGUAGGGGUAGAGGGAAUUCCCGGUGUAGCGGUGAAAUGCGUAGAUAUCGGGAAGAACACCCGUGGCGAAGGCGGCCAUCUGGACCGGUACUGACGCUAAGGCGCGACAGCGUGGGGAGCAAACAGG